rnacentral:rRNA from 1 species
AGCAGCCGCGGUAAUUCCAGCUCCAAUAGCGUAUAUUAAAGUUGUUGCAGUUAAAAAGCUCGUAGUUGAAUUUCGGGGUCAGUAGGUUGGUCAUGCCACUGGUAUGUACUGGUCUCACUGAUUCCUCCUUCCUGAUGAACUGUAAUGCCAUUAAUUUGGUGUUGCAGGGAAUCUGGACUGUUACUUUGAAAAAAUUAGAGUGUUUAAAGCAGGCUAACGUCUGAAUACAUUAGCAUGGAAUAAUGAAAUAGGACGUUCGAUCCUAUUUUGUUGGUUUCUAGGAUUGACGUAAUGAUUAAUAGGGAUAGUUGGGGGCAUUAGUAUUCAAUUGUCAGAGGUGAAAUUCUUGGAUUUAUUGAAGACUAACUACUGCGAAAGCAUUUGCCAAGGAUGUUUUCAUUAAUCAAGAACGAAAGUUAGGGGAUCGAAGACGAUCAGAUACCGUCGUAGUCUUAACCAUAAACUAUGCCGACUAGGGAUCGGAUGAUGUUAAUUUUUAAUGACUCAUUC